GGGAACGUACCCUUCGGUUCGGAAUAACUCAGGGAAACUUGAGCUAAUACCGGAUACGCCCUUUUGGGGAAAGGUUUACUGCCGAAGGAUCGGCCCGCGUCUGAUUAGCUUGUUGGUGGGGUAACGGCCUACCAAGGCGACGAUCAGUAGCUGGUCUGAGAGGAUGAUCAGCCACACUGGGACUGAGACACGGCCCAGACUCCUACGGGAGGCAGCAGUGGGGAAUAUUGGACAAUGGGCGCAAGCCUGAUCCAGCCAUGCCGCGUGAGUGAUGAAGGCCUUAGGGUUGUAAAGCUCUUUUGUCCGGGACGAUAAUGACGGUACCGGAAGAAUAAGCCCCGGCUAACUUCGUGCCAGCAGCCGCGGUAAUACGAAGGGGGCUAGCGUUGCUCGGAAUCACUGGGCGUAAAGGGCGCGUAGGCGGCCGAUUAAGUCGGGGGUGAAAGCCUGUGGCUCAACCACAGAGUUGCCUUCGAUACUGGUUGGCUUGAGACCGGAAGAGGACAGCGGAACUGCGAGU
rnacentral:rRNA from 1 species